CAAGUUACAGGAUAUUCUUGUGUUGUUUUUGUGUUUUCCCUCCUCCUUGUUACUGUCUGUGUAUGGGUGUGUGCCUCACACUGUGACUUCUUCCCCAAAAGUCUAAAAAAGGUGUCUGCCCUGGUUAUUGCUGUCCUGGUGUCUAUGUGCCUGCAUUAAGUGGAAACUGUCUUGGCUAUCUCAUAGAGGGCACCACCUACCCCGUGGCAGAUCGCAGAGAACAACUUACCACACUGCAGACUAACACGGCUACCACUGAAACAAUUCUCCAUAGAGACCUCUGGAGGCUUAGACCUACCCAAGAGUGAUCCAGGUGCCAGAAUGAAAGGAGGAAACUCAUUAUACAGAGGUGCACUUCUGAGAUCCACAUCUGGACUUUUCCACAACAUGAGAACAGAACUGGAGAACAAACUUCGGUUUGGCUUAUCAGUGAGUGAGGGGUCAGCAACUACAGAGGCUGAAUUGUGUGGACAAAGUCUCUGAAAAGUAGGGCUGCAGCAGGAGAGCUCGGAAAUGGAACAGAAUUCCUGAAAAACUCACAGGACUCAUAUGCUGCAUCUUUGGAAAUUGCUGCUAUGGCAGCAAGGGACUGAACUCCUACCAUAAAACUAGCUGACCUGUUAAAAAGAAGAAAUUGCAAACAGCUAAACAAGGAGGUGCAAGAGAGUGGGAAAUAUGACUGCAAUGGCAGAGAGCUCCAGGUGGUCAACAGACAGAUGCUUCAAACUGCUUAUGUCAGCAGUGCAAGCCUACAAUAUAGGAACAUUCUCCCUCUCCAUUGCAACCAAGUGCUGGAAGAUGGAAAAAAAUAUCUUUGCUCUGGCUGUGACAGCAAGACUGAGGAGACAGCAUUGUAAAGGAUGGACAUGUUUGCAUGGUAAAUAUAGGGAGAAUUCAUUCAAUAGAGAUAGAAUUGCAGAUGGAAAUAUAUAACAGGUUAUAUGACGAUGGCGGUGAACUAAGAAUAAACACAGAGUUUACCUGUUCAAACAG